CCCAUAUAAACCCAAAUCCAAUUCAUUUUCAAAUCGUGCUUUCAGCUGCGAUUUUGGAGAAUCCUUUAAUUUGGAGGAAAAUGAAAGCAUGAGAAGAAAGGGGUCAAGCCCAAAACACGCCCAGAGCCUUAACCCCCAAAUCCAUUUCAAACAUCCAAUUUGAUUCGGUUUGCGCUAGCUGAAUUUGGCAACCAAUACCGCACACAGAAGGUCCAUUUCAUCUGAAGGUAUUUUCGUGACAAUGCAUUUAAUUGUUUUAAAAAAAUGGUCGUUGAUUUUAAACGACUGGUUGAUUGUGAAAUUUUAAAUGAAAGUUACGGUAAUUAGUUUUAAUGCUCGAGGAUAUGCUAAAUUAAAUGGGUUGUUGAUCUGAAUUAAAUGAUGUUUAAGCAUGAUUACACUUUUGAAUUGAAGUUUCAAGAUCCCCCAACCCUUUGGUGCGUGAAUUAAUUUGGAUGGACUGAAAAUGUGUAAAAAUUGUGAAAUUUAGAGCAAGUUGAAUAUCGGUUAGUUGAAUAAGGGACAGUUGAGUAACCAUUGGUUUGAUCAUUAUUUUAUAGAAAAUAUUAUAUCAACCACAUAAUGCAUAUGAUUUAAUGCAUGCAGGCUUGUGGAUGUGCAGGUUGUUUUUAACUAAUUACUUCAUUGAAACCACUUGUCGGAAUGCCCAACAAAGAAACGACUUUGAGGAUGUGGAUUUGGCUUCUUGAAAUGUAUAGAGGUAGAGAAAAAAACUGAAAACAUAGGCCACUUAUUCUCAUGUUGUCGUAGAGAUUGUGGUUAUUUCAAGUGGAACUACAAUUCAUCAUCGUUCGAAGAAAUACCUUUGCAAUUUGAAGGUGAGUUUAGUCGAGAAUCGAAUCUGUUUGUUCGGGUAAAUCGAAGCCGAAAGAGCCACUUGAAGAUUUGUCGUGUAUGUUGAAGACAUUUGUUCAGAUAACAAAACAAAAAGAUGUGGAAAUAUCCAGCAAUAUGAUGAUCCGCAAAGGAAAGGGAGUUAUUGAGGACAAAGGGAAAGAAAAUGGAAGAGUUCCUUGAAUUUGAUCCAACCAUGUAAUCAAAUAAAAGUCUCAUGUAAUCGUAAGUUUUAAUAGUUGCAAUAGUUUAAGGUUUCAAGACUUGGAUGCAGUGUUGUAAUAGAUUAAUGUUUUGAGACUUGGAUGCGAUAUUGUAGUAACUCUGUUAAAUGAGAAUGAGAAUGAGAAUGUAUGGUCAGCAGUUUUAUCUUCAGUUUUUA
rnacentral:lncRNA from 1 species